AUUGUGAAGAAAACUUUGAUAUUUUUUUUCACUCAAAAAGACCCAUUUUCUCUUUCCUCUAGCUGCCCCAGCCUUCUAUUAGAAUGAGUAUCAUCAUCUAGUUUCCCCAAAGGACUGGCUUACCUGAGGACUACAAGCUCUCACAGUACUUUCCACUGCCUGGUACUUUUAUAAGGUCCCUUAGACUCACUGAGGCUUCAGAGAAACUCAUACAACUUUGGCAUCUUACCUGUGGCUUUUGAAACAUUGAAAGAAUGCGCUCCUGGCCCCUAAAUGUUGCCCAUGUCUCAAUGGGGUUUUGGAGCAAGGAAAGAAACAAAAGGCUCUUGGGCAACCAACAUCAGCCUGGAAGGCCAGAACUUCAUGUAUUAUACAAGAACACUAUGGAGACUUGCCUCCAGUACUUUUCCUCAGGCAUUCUUCAAUCUUCUUUGACCAAGAAGAUAGAGUUUGGAUGGAUGUAAACAGAGGUAUGUAGAAAGAUAAAGGCACCUGUUUAGUGAGCCAGAAAAUAAAGAACCUUCUGGCUAUAUAUGCA
rnacentral:lncRNA from 1 species